CCUCGUGAAUUCAUCUCCGGGGGUAGAGCACUGUUUCGGCAAGGGGGUCAUCCCGACUUACCAACCCGAUGCAAACUGCGAAUACCGGAGAAUGUUAUCACGGGAGACACACGGCGGGUGCUAACGUCCGUCGUGAAGAGGGAAACAACCCAGACCGCCAGCUAAGGUCCCAAAGUCAUGGUUAAGUGGGAAACGAUGUGGGAAGGCCCAGACAGCCAGGAUGUUGGCUUAGAAGCAGCCAUCAUUUAAAGAAAGCGUAAUAGCUCACUGGUCGAGUCGGCCUGCGCGGAAGAUGUAACGGGGCUAAACCAUGCACCGAAGCUGCGGCAGCGACGCUGAUGCGUUGUUGGGUAGGGGAGCGUUCUGUAAGCCUGUGAAGGUGUGCUGUGAGGCAUGCUGGAGGUAUCAGAAGUGCGAAUGCUGACAUAAGUAACGAUAAAGCGGGUGAAAAGCCCGCUCGCCGGAAGACCAAGGGUUCCUGUCCAACGUUAAUCGGGGCAGGGUGAGUCGACCCCUAAGGCGAGGCCGAAAGGCGUAGUCGAUGGGAAACAGGUUAAUAUUCCUGUACUUGGUGUUACUGCGAAGGGGGGACGGAGAAGGCUAUGUUGGCCGGGCGACGGUUGUCCCGGUUUAAGCGUGUAGGCUGGUUUUCCAGGCAAAUCCGGAAAAUCAAGGCUGAGGCGUGAUGACGAGGCACUACGGUGCUGAAGCAACAAAUGCCCUGCUUCCAGGAAAAGCCUCUAAGCAUCAGGUAACAUCAAAUCGUACCCCAAACCGACACAGGUGGUCAGGUAGAGAAUACCAAGGCGCUUGAGAGAACUCGGGUGAAGGAACUAGGCAAAAUGGUGCCGUAACUUCGGGAGAAGGCACGCUGAUAUGUAGGUGAAGUCCCUCGCGGAUGGAGCUGAAAUCAGUCGAAGAUACCAGCUGGCUGCAACUGUUUAUUAAAAACACAGCACUGUGCAAACACGAAAGUGGACGUAUACGGUGUGACGCCUGCCCGGUGCCGGAAGGUUAAUUGAUGGGGUCAGCGCAAGCGAAGCUCUUGAUCGAAGCCCCGGUAAACGGCGGCCGUAACUAUAACGGUCCUAAGGUAGCGAAAUUCCUUGUCGGGUAAGUUCCGACCUGCACGAAUGGCGUAAUGAUGGCCAGGCUGUCUCCACCCGAGACUCAGUGAAAUUGAACUCGCUGUGAAGAUGCAGUGUACCCGCGGCAAGACGGAAAGACCCCGUGAACCUUUACUAUAGCUUGACACUGAACAUUGAGCCUUGAUGUGUAGGAUAGGUGGGAGGCUUUGAAGUGUGG
rnacentral:rRNA from 1 species